AUUUUUCAUGAGCGCUUCUUGAUGAACCUCUGUCGCUGUCUGCCUCCAAGGCCAUCACUAUCAGUCAAGCGGCUCUGACCGUCCGGGAAAAUAACAGAUUUCAGACGUUGUACUCUAUCCCCUUUUUUGUGCCGCUCCGGUGGAUACACCGUCACGCGUCAGCUCUUCCCCGUGUUUCUGGAUGUGACUCAGUUCACAGUGGAUGGAUGCCAUGUUUACAUGAAGAUUUCCUGGCCUUUUCUGUAAGAUGGAGCAGCCCAUUAAAAGAAUUAACAAUGGUAAUCCUGUAAUAUAUUUUAGAGCCAGCCUAUAAUAAAGGGCUACAGAAUAAAGAUGACAGGGGAGGAUAAAUACUUCUGUUCACAGGAACCAAAUAUUACCAUGUGUUAUGUCACUCAUUACAUGCACUCUUCAUACUGACACGUGAACUCUACAUGUCCCACAAGAAAAUAGGAAAAGAAAAGAACAAUUUA